rnacentral:rRNA from 1 species
UCUACAGCCUUAUUACCCUGAAUGUGCCCGAUCUCAUCCGAUCUUGGAAGUUAAGCAGGGUCGGGCCUGGUUAGUACUUGGGUGGGAGAAAUAGAGGUUAUUGAUAGAG